rfam:Triticum urartu cultivar G1812 contig1028121, whole genome shotgun sequence.
GUGUAAUAUAGUGUACUACAUCUCAAAUUCUAUUUAUGAAUGACUACAAGCGAAGGAGAUAGAUGGUUUUAAAAAAAUCCCAAAAUUUCAAAAAUGUAUCUAGAAUUACUAGAAAACUAUGAACAAAAAUAGUGAAAUAAAGGGUCGCGAUCUCGCGAGGGUGAGCUAACUCCAGAAACCCGUCCUCAGUUCGGAUUGCAGGGCUGCAACUUGCCUGCAUGAAGUGGGAUUCACUAGUAAUCACCGGUAAGCCAUACAGCGGUGAAUCCGUUCCCGGGCCUUGUACACACCGCCCGUCACGCUAUAGGAGUUGGCCAUGUUUGAAGUCAUUACCCUUAACCGUAAGUAGGGGGAUGCAUAAGGCUGGGCUUGCAACUGGAGUGAAGUCGUAACAAGGUAGCCGUACUGGAAGGUGCAGCUG